GCGGCCAAACUGUGUGUUGGCUAUGGCCCUCGGCUUAUAACCGAGUGGGUUCGGGUUCGAAUCCCGAGUAAGUCA